rnacentral:tRNA from 1 species
AAGAUGUAAUAAAAGACUUCUAAUCUUUACGAAGUGUUUACACUACAUCUUA